GNNAGGGGCGGGUGCCUAAUACAUGCAAGUCGAGCGGACAGAUGGGAGCUUGCUCCCUGAAGUCAGCGGCGGACGGGUGAGUAACACGUGGGCAACCUGCCUGUAAGACUGGGAUAACUCCGGGAAACCGGGGCUAAUACCGGAUAAUUCUUUUCCUCACAUGAGGGAAAGCUGAAAGAUGGCUUCUNGUUUUCCCUUAAAAAUGGGCCCCCGGCCCAUUACCUAUUUGGUGAGGAAACGGCUCACCAAGGCAACAAUGCUUACCCAACCUAAAAGGGGGAUCCGCCCCCCUGGGCCUGAAACACGGCCCUAUUCCCUUC
rnacentral:rRNA from 1 species